rnacentral:rRNA from 1 species
CCUACGGGAGGCAGCAGUGAGGAAUAUUGGUCAAUGGACGAGAGUCUGAACCAGCCAAGUAGCGUGAAGGAUGACUGCCCUAUGGGUUGUAAACCUCUUUUAUAUGGGAAUAAAAUGUUCCACGUGUGGGAUUUUGUAUGUACCAUAUGAAUAAGGAUCGGCUAACUCCGUGCCAGCAGCCGCGGUAAUACGGAGGAUCCGAGCGUUAUCCGGAUUUAUUUGGUUUAAAGGGAGCGUAGGUGGAUUGUUAAGUCAGUUGUGAAAGUUUGCGGCUCAACCGUAAAAUUGCAGUUGAAACUGGCAGUCUUGAGUACAGUAGAGGUGGGCGGAAUGCGUGGCGUAGCGGUGAAAUGCUUAGAUAUCACGAAGAACUCCGAUUGCGAAGGCAGCUCACUGGACUGCAACUGACACUGAGGCUCGAAAGUGUGGGUAUCAAACAGGAUUAGAUACCCUAGUAGUC